UAUAUAAAGAGGUGGGGAUAAGGUUGAUAUUAACGUACUUCAAAUGACCAAAAAGUCCUUCACCAACUCAAAAUUACAGCUAGAGUACCGGUACCCAAUUUGGUUACCGGUACUCGGUCUCUCAGCCCGUAAGCUCGCACACAUGGUAUCGGUAUCAACCCGAUGCCGUACCGAUACUCAACACUGAAAUCCUGCACUUUGCGGAUUUCAGCAUCAGAACUCUACUCUCGUCUCGCGUCGAGUCCGUUUUGCGUCUAUUUCGGGCCAAAACGACUCCGACUUGUCCCGACGCUCUCCAGAUGUGUUGACAAGCCCCGGAUGAUACUCACAGGCAACCAAACACCAGGGAUACUACAUAUAUUCUUACAAAGUUCAAUUUUUAUAUGUUGGUUCUUCAAAAGUCCUGAUGUUUUCAAAUAUAUUCCUACCGUUAGAAUCCGUUAGAAAAAUUUAGUUAACAAUAGGUUAAAUACUUAAUCCUGGUUAGUCAAUGAGAUGAAUUGACCUUUUAUUUCUUUUUAAUUAACAGUUGGGACUUUUGAAGGGACAUAUUUGUGAUGACAAAAAAAGUAUUUUAAGUAUAAAAUAAACGGUGUUUUAACGAUAACAAAUAAGAGGGAUAUAUUUAAAAUAUUAAGACUUUUGUAGGGACAACAUAUAAAAGAUGAACUUUAUAGAGGUAUAUUUAUAAUUCAGCAUAUUUGUAGGGACCUGUAUGAAAUUAACUCUUUUUAUUAUUGUAAACAUUAAUUUUGUACAAUAUAACAACUGGUGCCGAUUUUUUUAUUAUCUUGAUUAUUUUGUUCGUAAAAUACUUUGAUCAAGUAAUAUAUGUGUUUUCGUCAAGCCAAGUUUUUUGGACAGCUCAUCGAGUUAACAGUUGAUCUAGUCAAAAAUACAUUCGAUUCACGAAUUGGCUUGUUGGAUGACCCUCGAUAGUAUCAAGAUCAAGCGAUUCUAUUGAGAAGGGUUCUCUCUCAAUGCGUAAAAAUUUUUGUAGAUGAGGCGAGAAUUGAUUCGACUGAAAUUAGAGCAGAAAUAAUUGCUUUUCAUUAACUAGAGCUUUGCAUAUUACAAAGAAAAGAACGCUGGGUUUCCAAUUGUAGGAAAGACUUGGCGAAAAACUUAAUUACAAGAAGACUAAAGGCUAAAAACUUAGAUUUAAAGCUACUCCUAAAAAACCUAUAAAUGCUAAAAAUAAAAAUAAAAAAUAUUAAAUCAUUGACCGUCCUAGCACAAGUGGCUAAGGAUUUGGUGGUUAGUACCUAAAGUCUCGAGUUUGAAUCCUAAUUGAUUUAUAUUUUUAGGUAAAGUUUACUUUUAAAGGCCAAUUUGCAUAAAAAAUUCAUAAAUUUUGAGCUUUUACAAAACUGGGCCGCCUUUUUUGAUUUUGCAAAUUCAAUCCGAAUUUUCAGCAAACUGACCAAAAUACCCUUAUUACUUUUUCUCUCUCCUCUUUCUCUCUCCUCUUCUUUUCUCUUGUUCAUUUUUUUUUCUCUCGCCGAAGAAAGCAGCGGAGGCGGAGGCAAAGGCGGAGGCGGAAACGGCCCGCCUCGCCUCUCAUCCUCAUGGUCUCGCCCUCACCCUUGCCCUCGCCCGCGCACCCCCCACCUUCCUCGCCUCCGACUCCGCNUUUUUUUUUUUUUUUUUUCUCUCCGACUCUCCUCCGCCGUCUCCGACGACAACGUCUCUUUCGCCCUUCCCCGCCCUUCUCGUCCUCUCCCUCUCCCUCUCCCUUCUCCUCUGCCGCCUCCGACAACGGCGCAUCUUCGCCGAUGCCGACACCGACACCAUGGAGGUCGCUGCGGCGCUGCAACCUCGGAGCGCGGGGUCCUUAGCGGCGUCGCCGCCGGCGCCGUUGUCACGCCCCGGGGCCGAUUUUAAAAGCCUUUUAAAAACAGAGUUGCGGAAAACGUGCCAUUUUUUUUUUUUUCUCAACCUGGCCCACGCGACGUACAGACCCGCCACAAAUACANAGCCAACUUCUCACCGCGGCUUUUCCGGAAAAUCGAGUUACUAUUCACUUUAAGUGAAACUUGGAAAUCGCGUAGAAUUUCCGUUUUAACUCGUUUUCGCCCGAAACUUGACGAGUGCUUUUGUAAUUAAAUUACACACAAAAACAUCGUCAACUGAGAGUUUAGCUACACUGCAAAAAUCUCAGUCCUUACAGCCGUGCCCGUUGGCAAAGAGGGGUGACAAAAAAAAUUUAUAGAAGAAGCAAGAAAAAAAAAUAAAGAUAAAAAAUUAUAGAAAAAAAAGAUGAAGAUGAAAUUGCACCGUUAAAAAAACGUUGCACUAUUAUGGAUAUAAGUUGCACUAUUUAAAAUGUCAACUGCAGCUUUAAGAUGAAAAUUACACUCUUUAAACAAAAAUUGCACUCUUUGGGAGAUAUUUACAAUGUUUCUUCUCUUAUUGUACUCUUUCAGAUGUAAACUGCAUCCAUUAAAAUAAAAGUUACACUCUUCAAACGAAAAUUGCACUCUUUGAGAGAUAUUUAUACUGUUUUUUCUCUUCUUGUACUUUUUGAGAUGUAAACUGCAUCCCUUUAAAAGAUAUUUAGACUGUUUUUUCUCUUGUUGCACUAUUUCUCCUCUUGUUGAACUAUUCCUUCUCUUAUUAUACUGUUUCUUCUCUUAAAGAGUGUAGUUUAAGAUAAGAAACAGUGUAACAAGAGAAGAAACAGUACAACAAGAGGAGAAACAAUAUAAAUAUCUCAUAAAAAAGGGGUGCAUUUUACAUCUCAAAGAAUGCAACAAAACGAGAAACAGCGUAAAUAUCUCUCAAAAAGUAUAAUUUUCGUUUAAAGAGUGUAACUUUCAUCUUAAUGGAUGCAGUUUAUAUCUGAAAGACUGCAAUAAGAGGAGAAACAAUGUAAAUAUCUCCCAAAGAGUGUAAUUUUUAUUUAAAGAGUGUAAUUUUCAUCUUAAAACUGUAGUUUACAUCUUAAGUAGUACAAUUUAUAUCCAUAAUUGUGCAACAUUUUUUUAAAACAGUACAAUUUUAUUUUAAAGAUGCAAUUUCAUCUUCAUCUUUAUUUUUCUAUUAUUUUUUAUCUUUAUUUUUUUCUUGCUUCUUCUAUAAUUUUUUUUUGUCAUCCCUCUCUGCCAACAGCCACGGCGCCGUCGACGACGUCGUUAAGGACUCCCUGCUCCAAGGCUGCAGCGCUAUAGCGACUUCCACGGUGUCAGCAUCGGGGAAGAUGCGUCGUCGUCGAAUGCGGCAGAGAGGAGGGAGAGGUAGAGGAUGAGAAGGGCGGGGAAGGGCGAGAGAGGCGUCGUCGUCGGAGACGGUGGAGGAGAGUCGGAGAGGAAAAAAAAAAAAAGAGUCGCGGGAGAGAGAAAAAAUAAUAAAGGUAUUUUGGUCAGUUUGCUGAAAAUCCGGUCCGAAUCUGCAAAAUCGAGAAAAGUGACCCACUUUUGCAAAAGCGCAAAACUAGUGGAUUUUUUGUGCAAAUUGGCCACUUUUAAAUUAAAUAAACAUCACAAUUUCUAACUGUUGCGUCCAAAAAUCUAUUUAUCUUCGAGUAUUCUUUUCCUUGAGUAUUCUUUUCAGGCUCUUUCUAUUUGGCCACGUGAGCCAAGCACAUGAUUCAUAUUUUCAACUGUUGCGUCCAAAAAUCUAUUAUCUUUGAGCAUCCUUUUCAGGCUCUUUCUAUUUGGCCACGAGAGCCAAACAUAUGAACCGGGCCGGCUACCAGCUGGCACCUCUUUCUUUUGCGCCAAUAGUAUGAAAUCUUGUUCAAAAUGAUCUGACACAUUUUUUGAAAUUUAAAUUUAUCAUUUAUCUUUUAGUUAAUAUAUUUUUUAAAAUUCACAUAACUAUAAAUUGAUCAAAGCAAGCAAAUUAGUUUGAAUUUUUGUAUCUGAAAAACCAUCAAAUCACUUAAUCAACAAAUUGAAAGGUUGUGUGUACUAAAAUCAAAAUUUUGAAAAAAAUAGAUAGUCUCGUCAAAAUAAUCUACAAUUCAAGUUAAAUUACACAUUAUUAUUUUAAAUAAUAAUAAUAAUAAUAAUAAUAAUAACAAUAAAAAAAUAUCAAAUUAGACUUUAGUCUAUCGAUUUUUUGAUUUUGACUCAACAAAAGCUAGCAAUCCACCUCGCAUCGACUCGUCAGUAAACAAGCUGAAUAACCGACCGUUUUUAGAGCAAGUGGCAAAACGCUUGAUGGUUCGUACCUGAGGUCCCAAAUUCAAAUCCUAAUUGAUUCACAUUUUCCAUCGGAUAGCAUGUAAUCUAUCUCUAAAAAAAAUAAAAUAAUAAACAAGCUGAAUAUGAGCUAAAUUUUUUAACUAAAUAUUUUAACGAACCAGCAUGUGUUUAGGUCAUUUAAUAAACCAAUAAAAAUGAGACGGCCACAACUGGCUUGUGUUCGGCUCGUUGACGACUGAAGACGCGCUUGACCUACCAUCGUCAGACUGUCAUGCUCGGAAGACGUAUUUGCCGGACGCCCUGGCCAUGGAUUACUAAAUCAAAGUCUUCAAAUAAGAUUUCGUGUGUGACUGUCAGACUUUGGUCCGUAUCACUCUUCCUCUACAAUUCAAAGAGUCCAACUCCCAUACGAAAGGUAAGAAAAGCUUUUUUUUUUUUUUUUUUUUUGGUAUGUCAGGUUGUGGUGUGCAAUAGACUACUAAUUGUAUUUAGGAAUAAAUUUCAGAUAUUAUUUCUAUAGUUUUAUACUUUUUUACUUUAGUACUUUGUGGUUUAAAGUGCAUCAAGUUAGUGUCAUGUGGUUGCAUUUUUAUUUUCUCACUAGUUUCUCCGUUAAUAUUUCGUUAAAUUAUAUAAAAAAAUUUAAGGUACUCCACCUAGAUUUAUCGAAUAUUCACUUUAGUACACUUUAGUCUUUACUUUGUCACUCAUUUAAUAAAAAAAAUUAGUGGAAUUAAUCGAUAAUAAAAAGAUAAAAAUGAAACCACAGGGUACGAAAUUGAUACACUUUAAACCACAUGGUAUUGAAAUGAGAAAGUGUGAAACCACAAGAAUGGUAUUUGAAGUUUUUCCUUGUAUUUAAAAUAAUUGGCUAAAAGCUUGAUGAUUGAUAUAUGAGAUCUUAAGUUCGAGCUCUACUUAUUUUAUAUGUAUUAUUUUUUUUAAAAAAUGAACAGAGCUGAUAACUCUCAAAAAAUAUUUCGUUUAGAUUAAAUUACCAAAUCAAGUUGAUGAAUUUUGAUUGGUUCAGUUCAUUUUACACAUAAUUCACUUUGGUUUGAUAUAAUAAGUUGUAAAUUGAAAAAAAAAAAAACCAGAACUAACAAUUUUUUUUAAUAAUUUAAUGACAUUAAUCUUAGAUUACAAUUAAAUAAUUGGAGAGUUUGAUUAUACCUUUUUUUAGUGGUUUAACAAAUUUAACUUCAAAAAAUUUAAAAUCGAAUAAAUCAAACGGAACUGAUCGUAUUGUUCCGAUUCAAUUUAUGUUUCUAAUUUGAUUCGGUUCGGUUUUGAAAGCAAUCUCCCAAAAGCCGAACCGAACCAACCGAAGCUCAGCCUUAUUCUUAGGGUGUUUUCUGAAUAGGAUGCUUCAUACCUUAGUAAAUACAUAUUUUCUCAAAAUUUCUUUUCAUGAUGAUAAUUUUUUUUUUAAUUUGUUAAACUAUUUUUAAUUGAUAUUUUGAUAUUAAUUAAUUAGAUAAAAUAUUAUUAAUUUAAAAUUAUAAUUACUUUUGUUUUCAUUAUUCUAAUCUAUCAUCCAAGCAUUGUUUAUCUUGUUUCCUGAAACAACUUAAUUUUCAUCCAACCAAAAAUUUACUAUAGUUCUUGCGGAUCUGAACUUGUACCUAUUUCUGAAAUAAGCAAUUUUGCCUGAGUGCGCAUCAUGUAUAUGAAUUUUUAUAAAUCCUAAAACACAAAGCAUCUUGUAUAUGAAUUUUUAUAAAUCCUAAAAUACAAAGACCGUAAGAUUUACAACCGUAUAUAUAUAUAUAUACAGUAAGAUUUAAUUACAACUUUAUACAGAUAUAUAAUUAUUCUUUUUAACAAUAAUGCUAUCCUUACACCAUCGGACUAAAUAUACAUCUUAUUCUGCCGUAUGAAGUCCAAACAAAGUUAGUUAAUUUACGAAUUAUUCACGAAUUAUUGAAAAUUUAAAUUAAAACAGCCCAUAUGUAAUUUAUUUCCAAAAAUCAGAAUAAAAUGCGGAUUUUUAGGUUAGAUUUAUUAUUCACGAAUAAUUCGCAUAUGCUGAAUUAUUCGGCCCAAAAAACGCGCAAAACUAUUGGAUAAGUUUUUUUUUCCCAAAUUAUUCGCGAAUUAUUGUUGAUUAUUCAUAAAUUAUUGAAAAACUUCAUGAACUUUUGGAAUAUGUGUAUCAUGAAAAAGAUGAAGAUGGAGGCGAUAAUAAAAUUUACUAUUGUAUUUUUUACUUAAUCUACUUUAUUUUAUAGCUCUCUAUUUUUAUAUUCUUAAAAAUUUAUAACUAUAUAUGCUAGUAGUAUAAAUAUAACGAAAAAAACUUAGUUUAAUAGCCGAAUUUUUUAUCGCGAAUUUUUAAUUGAUAAAUGUAUAAUUUUCGUAUAAAUCGCGUAUUCGAAUAAUUGGCGAACCCAUUUUUUUAACUAUAUUUCUGAAUGAAUUUAAAAAUUAAAAUAUAAAUUUUAUUUGAAUUAUAUUUGUACUGAGUUUUUGUCGAAUCCGAAUUAAUUAAUUACGAGUCCAAACUUGACUAGCCAAGUUUUGGACACCAGCGGAAAGCUUUUCUCUUUCAAACCCAAAAAAAAUUUAGUGGGAACACUAAGGGUGGGAACUAGUGUUCCCACCCCAGGGUGGAACAAGCUGGGAUAACCCAGCUUGUUCCACCCGUGAAGAGAGAGAGUUUAGUGGGAACACUAAGGGUGGGAAUUAGUGUUCCCAUCCUAGAGUGGAAAAAGCUGGGAUGACCUAGCUUGUUUCACCCUUGAAGAGAGAGAGAGAGAGAGAAAGAGAGAAUUUUUAAUUUUUUUUAAAAUUUAAAUUUCGUAAGUUAAAAAAUUAAAAUUUAUAAUUUUUAAAAUUACAAAAUUAAAAAUUAAAUUUUAAAUUGUUUAAUUUUAAAUUUUAAAAUUUGAUAUUUUAAAUUUUUUAUAUUUAGAAUUUGAUAUUUUAUAUUUUUAAAUUAAAAUUUCAUCUUAAAUUUAAAGUUUAAAAUUUAAAAUUUUAAUUUUUAAAAUUGUAAAUUCGAGAUUUUAAAAUUUUAAAAUUUAAAAGUUUAUAUUUAAAAUUUUAAAAUUUAAAAGUUUAUAUUUUAAAGGGAAAACUUCAAAACCCCCCCUGUGGUUUCGUGCAUUCUCACUUUGCUACCCUGUGGUUUAAAACGUAUCAAUUUGCCCCCCUGUGGUUUCGUUUUUAUCUUUUUGUUAUCAAUUUUAUUAUUAUUUUUUUUUAAAAUCAGUGACAAAGUUAAAAUUAAAGGAUACUAAAGUGACUAUUCGAUAAAUAUAGAUGGUUAUCUGAAGUUUUUUGUAUAUAAUUUAACGAAAUAUUAACGAAAAGCUUCCGAAAAGAUAAAAUGAAACCACAGGGGGUAAAUUGAUACGUUUUAAACCACAGGUAGCAAAGUGAGAAUGCACGAAACACAGGGGGGUUUUUGAAGUUUUUCCUAUUUUAAAUUUAAAAUAUAAAUAUAAAAAUAUAAAAUUUAAUUUUUAAUAUAAAGAAAAGGAUAAUAUUAUUUUUUUUUAUUUAAAUAUCGACACUUAAAUUUUUAUUCCAUCUUAUCUAUUCAAACGCUAUUUUUUUUAUUCUAAAAAAUAACCUAAUUUUUAUCCAAAUGCAAAAUUAAUUUAAUUUCUGUUUAUAUCUCAAUUUAUAUAUAUUUUUGGAAGAGUCAUUUUUUUGUUUAUCUUCCAACCAAACGAUGCUUUAAUUACAACGUUGCCGUAAUCAAUGCCUCAUUGGUGACAUGCACUUCAUACAUUGACCACGUACGCACAAAAUUACGUAUCCUUUGACGCGUUCAAAUUCUCCACUUCCUUAUAGAGAGGGAGAACCUCUGUAUAGAAAGAGAGAGGAGCCGUAUCAAACUCAUCAAACUUCAUUUGAAAAGGAGUCAACGCCCCCCUCUCUCUCUCUCUCUCUCUCUCUCUCUCUCUCUCUCUCUCUCUCUCUCAUUUCCACUAUUUAAGGAGAGACCACCUUAUAUCGCAACAUAAAGUAAGCUGGAUUACGCAGUUCAAUCCCUUGAGGCUGUGGAGAGAUCUAUAUAUAUAUAUAUAUAUAUAUAUCAUGGAGAAGAAGAUUACUGAAGCCGGAGAGACGACAUUGAAGAGGCCGACGCCGUCGCGGCCGGUCCACGGCCAAGUGAGGAAGAUCAGGCAGGAAGAAGACGAGAGGGCAAAGGAAGAGCUGCUGUCGCUGCCGCCUCCGCCGCCCGCCAGAAGGCCCGUCUCGCAGUCUCCUCUCGGCCGGGCGGGCCGCGUGAUCUCCGUCGGCGAUUGACGGACAAUUGAUCGAGCUGAACUGCUCAUGCUUUUCAGCUGUUUGGUUACAAGAUGGAAUGUUCUGCAGAGAGGCUUCUUGAUUCUUAUCUUUUAGUUUUACCAAUCUUCUUGUAAAUAUAAAUAAUAUAGGUGUAGGCAAUUUGAUCUUAUACAACUUUACCUUUCUUUUCUAUUCCGUGUGAUACUGUAGGAAGAACAUAAGAUCAUAUUGUAUUUUUUGACAGGUGACAUUAAUUAGAUCAUAUUGAAGAGUUUGUUUUGAGAGCGCUCUGUUUUUACGCUUUGCCUUUUCAAGUCACCAGAAUCUCACUUAAAGUGGGAAUCCAAUCGGAGGUGCAUACUGUUAAAGAAUGCGAAAUAACAGUGUUUUUAAUUUCUAUACGAAAACACUCUCCUUAAUAUUUGAGGUCGAGAUUUUUUUUUUAUUUUUGAAAGAGAGAUAGAAAUGUGUAUUAAUUAGGAUUCGAACUUGAAAUUUCGGAUACCAACUACUAAAUCCUUUGUCACUUGCUCUAGAAAUAGUGAGGUCAAGAUAUUUUUAUACAUAUAAAAUAUAGACUUCAAUUAAAUAAGAAAAAAUUAAUAAUACUAGAAACUGAAUGAAUGAAGCGGGUAGCGUGCUAUUUUUUUCUCAAAAAAAAAAAGAAGAAAAAUAAUACUAGAAACUUGGUAUAGUUAGCACUGAGAAUCUCGAGUUUAGAUACCGUGUUAAAAAAAAAUUAAUACUAUUUUCUAACGACUUAAAUUUUUUUAAAUCACAAAAUUAAAAGUCUAUAAAAUUUAUGAGUCGUGCAAGCUAAGACGAUUCGGAGCUUUCUCUGCAUCUUACGAGGGGAGCGGACUUCACUUUUGCAUUAAUUGCUCUCGAGACUCUCAUAUAUCUACUCCCACAGAAAUCCUUUUUGACUUGUCUUGGUUACUACGCUCUGUUUUGUUGGCUCCAAUCUAUUUUUUUUUUCCUUUUUUUUUUUAUUUUUAAAGAACGAUAUCUAUUUCAUUCAUUAAAAAAAAUAAAUUAAGCUAUAAUAGUGAGAUAGAGGGACCUCCGAACGAUAUCAAAAUAAUUUUAAAAAUUAAAAAAUUAAAAAAUUAAAAAAAAAAAGAAAAAAAUUUAAAUUCCAUUAAAUUCUAGGCCAGAAUACGCUCGUUUAAACACGCUGUUCUCCUCCCACUGAAGCUUCAAACGUCUGAUCGAGUUGACAGCUAGCAAGGGUUCAGCAUUAGCCAUCCUAAAAAUAACGGCAUUCCUUACCUUCCAGAUAACUCACCAACUGGCUGUGAGUCCAGUCAUUAUGUUUCCAACCGAUUGAGCACUAUCCCUUGCCAUCCGUUUAUUCCAUACGUAUAUUACAUCAUCACCCAGGUCCCCAACCUGAAUCCCUUCCACAGCCAUGCCAAUCAAGAAUCUGCUGAAUCUUCCCUCAGCAUCAAUAUCUAUAGAUAUAGAUAUAUUAAUUUUUCAGUUUUACUGUGGCCGACGUGUCACCUCCUCAGCGCCCCCCUCCUCUCGCGCCCCUUCGAAGCGUCCCCGCGUUUGGCGGGGGCUUCGAUGGCCCCCACAGUGGGGGGGGCGGCAGCGGCGGUCACGUGUGCGGGACCCCGCAGCGGGCGAGCUGCAGCGGCUAGCGUCGGGCGCGGGGCGGGCGACACGUGGCUUCGGCGGACCCCACAACGGGGCUGGCGGCAGUUUGCGCGGGCGUCGGGCGCAGGUCGCGCGCCCUCUCUCUCUCCUAUCGGGUGUUUGUCAGGUCUCCCUCUCCCCUCCCCUGGCUUUCUCUCUCUCUCUCUCUCUCUCCUCUCCCUUUCCCUUCGGCUCUCUCUCUCUCUCUCGAUUCCUCUCUCUCUUUACCCCAGAUUCCUGCCCUCUCUUUCCCCAACCCCUCGGGCCCCACCCCCCGGGCUCCCUCUCUCUCUCUCUCUCCCCUCGCGCGUGCGCGCCCGGCGCGGGGUCGCCGGACAUGGCAAGUCUUCCCCCCCGCCGCCCCCGUCUGUUUCCCUUCUCUCUUCUCCCCCUCUCAUUCCUCUUCCUACCCCCUCUCCUGCUCCUCUCUCUCGCCCACCCUUUUUCUCUCGCUCCCACAUUCCCUUGGCUUUCUUCUCUCUCUCUCCCUCUCUCUCCCCUUCUUUUUUUUUCUCCCCCCUCAGGCUCUCUCUCUCUCUUACCCACUCUCUCCCUCUCCCUACCCCACCCUGGCUCCCUCUCUCUCUCUUGCGCGUGAGCGCGGGGCCUGCCCGGGCGCGCGCGCGUGGGCCAGGAGAGCGGGCCGAGUCAGAAGGCACGGGCACGGCGCGGAGCGUAAGCGAAAGCGGCGUCGCGGAGAGCUAGCGCGCGGCACGGGCACACCGUGGAGCCGAAAACGCGGCUCAUAGCCGUGGUUCUCACGGGGUCGCGAGGCCGCUUCGCCCUCGUGAACCACAUGAGAGGGAGCGUCCAACGGUGGAGCCUCCGCUCUCCAUUAUAUAUAUUAUAUAUAUAUAUAUCUAUAUAUAUAUAUAUAGUCCGGCUACUAUGUUAUUGAUAGCACGAAGCACUCGGUGCUACCAAGUUUUUCGCCGUUAGAUCUACUCUUUUGAUCAUUUUCACCCGUUAGAUCAUAUUAUUCAACCAACCACCCACUCAACCCUAGGGGGCUCACAUCAUCCUAACCGCACAUCUCUUAAUCCAAUGGCUAAAAACUUGGUAGCACCAAUGACUUGGUGUCACGCCCCCGGGGUCCCUUUUAGUUCAAAGCAUAGCGGAAAAGCAUCUAAAUUUUUUUUUUUUUUUUAAAAGCCUGACCCCAGAGUGUGCCAGAUCCGCCACAAACACAGGAAAUUCACUGUUCACACGGACAGAGUCUCCCCUGUAUUUGCACGGCGUCACACAAGUACAACAGAGUAUGAAUACAAUCACAACCACAACCAGAUGAACGACAAGAUAGAUAACAUUCAUCCAUUCCAUUCGCACACACAGAUAUGAUACUUGAGUUAUGAAUAACAUUCCACAUCUAUCAGUUAAAAUGUUUCCUAUCUGGAAACUGAUUUUGAAAUACUAAAUCCAUAAAACCACAGAAAAUCAAUUUGAAAACUGUUCCCCACACGGGAACCAUUCUUUUUCAAAACCAGCUACCACGAGGGGUAGAAAACUGUUUUAUCUCAAGAAAACCAGAAAUCCAUUUAAUACAAUUUGAAGUCCACUACCUCAGGUUAUUCCAAAGUCGGAGCAAAACUGAACCAUAAAUGAACUAAAGUAAAUACGAAGAGUGGCGGGUGCUAACGCAGCUAGACACGAUCCUCACCAGCUGUCCCGCUCGGACCAGCUAUUUCACCUGAAAAAGGGGCGGGGAGUGAGAACAUGUAAACAUGUCUCCCCUCCCAGUGGGUACCGCAAGCCGGAGAGGCCGAGAGGUACUCACUAGUCACGGAGAACUAGAUAGAUAUAAGUGUUGGUAAGUAAAGAUGCUGAUAAGUAGGGAGCUGACAAGUAUAGAUGCAGGUAAAUAAAAUAGUAGCUACAAUAAACAGAUAAGGAUGUACUGGAAAUAAACACUACAGCUACUGUAUGCAUGCGUCAACUGACGAUAACCUCAAAAGUACCCAAUCUCGUUGCCCUAUUAGUCUGAAGACCUCAGGCCCAUGCCACACUGCUCACCCUGUACCUGACCCUCGCAAUGAAGCCCCUGGGUCAGAAGCAUAGUACCUGACCCUCGCAAUGAAGCCCCUGGGUCAGAAGCACAGUACCUGACCCUCGCAAUGAAGCCCCUGGGUCAGAAGCAUAUACCCUCGCAAUAAAGCCCUUGGGCUCACGGGUUGGCAAUCCAACCACUUUUUCGGAAAAGAACACCCUCUUGCGGUGGAUCAGACCGCUGGUGUUCGUGAAAUGCGUAUCUGGAGUGGCGAUCAAUGUAGUAUGCUCAAAGAUCAUCCAUCCGCAACUAGCCGACAAUCCAAGCCCCUCAGGGCACAUCGACCGUAUAGGUCAUCAGCAACUAGUCGGCUACGUAUGUCAAGAUAGAACUGUAGCAACUCGACCGAAUAGGUCAUAGAUAUCAAAAUAGGGGAACCGCCCAACCAAAUCACAGAUAUAGUGAACAGAUAAGUCAACUCUACUUCUAAGCAUGAUAUCGACAUGGAAAUAACUGAGUAGAGGAAUGCAGAUAUAAAUGCAGGUGCAAGGUUCAAUAUAACUGUAAGGUAGAGUAAACAGUAGGGGUGAAGAAGCGUCACCGAGCGUGCACCACUGUACCGACUACGGGUCGAAGUACCCACCUGUACGUGUCUGACGAAGGUCUCUCGACUGUGAAGACGGUGCAACCGAACCUACGAAAGGUCCAACGGGUUAGGAUCUAACCCACUGACAUGCAACGCUAUCUCACAACCCCCAAUCAUAGCCCCACGGAAUCGGUUUCCCAAAACCGAUUACGAACAUGCCGGAAGUUCCGAAAAUCGCACCGGAACUCCCCCGUCGCUCACCCGUCGUUUCCCGAACCCUCGAAACGACAUGGGUGACCAGCCAACAAGACUCAGCGACGCUACAUUCAACCACAAGGCGCCGUCGGAUGAACUCCGAAUCGAAAACAUGUUCUAUCGGUGGAUUUCGUCGAAAAAUGCUCCGAAAACUACUUUUCGGUUUCCGCAAGGGUUUGGGGCCUCGGACGAUCAGUCCAGAGGUUAUCCUCAGCCCAAACAUGCUGCCAACAGCAGCCACAACGAAGCAACAAUCAUAAAAGCCCAUAUCGAUACAUGAAAUCGCAACAUUUUAUGUGUUUUCAAGGCUUUUCUGGAUCGUGCACGCAAACCAAAGAUCAAUUAAGCGAAUCAUCGCGCUCGCUGAUAGAUUUCAGCAUGACGGAGGCUGUGCUCACCUUUCGGAGCACUGCAGGCCGCUGGGGUGCGCGUACGAGCGAUGCGAAGUUCUGUUAAUCUGCGCGUACAGCCGGAGAUCGCGACUAACUCACUAACCAGGGCAUCUUUGCUGCUAUCGGAGGUGAGCACGAUGUUCAGCACGAGUUGUAGAUCAUCGUGCUCACUUCCCGGGGUUUAGGUGGCUCAUUGGAUCACCGGAAAGGUGACCGGAACCUCGGAAAACAGUGCUGGAACAUAAAAUGUCCUUACCAGACCCGAGGAGAGCUAGGGUUGGUCGCCGGCGGCCGGGAGGCGGGCGGUCCGGCCGGAGGAGGGAGCAGUCAGUCCAGGAGGUCCGGGGAAAGACGGUGCACCCCUUGGUGGGCGGCGGCGACGCUUGGAAGCUGAACGGACUCGGCCUCAGCCCGCACGGUUCCAGGCGGCCACAGGAUGUUGCAGUAGCGGCCGGCGGCGCGCGGGGACGGCGGGGGACGUGCGCGCCGGGCUGCUGGAGGUCGCCGGGGCCGACAGGAGGGCGGCGCGGCCAAGGUGAGGCGUGGACGCCGAGUUCAAACCGGCUCGGUCAGGGCUGACCCGAGCUGGUCGCAGGGAGCAGGGGUGGCUCCGGCGGCGCUCGGGGGUGGCCGGGGCCGGCGGGGGAAGACGCCGGAGAUGGGCUUCGGCCAGAGGAUGAUGCUCCAAGGGGUGAAAGAGGCUUCCUUCGCAACUUCGGCCAAGUUGGAGGAGAGGGUGGCCGAGAGAGCAAGAGAGGAGGUCGGGGUGGCCUUUCCGGCGGCCGGAGUAGGUCGCCGGCGGCUGGGGCGUGCGCACAGGUUGGGCAGGGUGGUGCUGAGGCGGCUAGGGUUAGUUAGGUGAACGUGGGCAGUCAAAAAGUCAUGGGAAACCCUAGAUGCCCAUUUUAUACAAGGUGACACUUUGCGAGGAACCCCUCCAAAGUCUAAUAUUUACAUUCCAGCCCCUGCCAACGUGUGGAUUAGGCGUAUAGGUCCCUCUACAUUCGAAUUCGUGCAAGACCGCGCAUAAAAUAUUGGACCUUAUCGCGAAUAAUCAAUUUUGCACAUUGACCUCUCAACGGACUUUUCACGAUUCCCGAAGAUCCGUCCAUCGGAUUUCUGAACGAUUGAGCCAGCGCGUUCAGCAUGACUGGGGCAUCGAAUCUAGCAUUUAUUUCAUCGAAUUUGGUCUUCGAUCAGCGACGAAACAUCCAUUUCGUUUUUCACCAUAUAACCACUUAUGUUAAUACAUAUAAUUUCCAUUAAACCCCUUUUUCUCGACAACCUGCAUCAGAAACCCAAUUCCGUCAGUGUCAUGGGUCCAGAAUGGUCGAGCCAUUCGAAAUGAGCUAUUGGAUCGCUAUGAACGGAGUCCAAUACGCACCGAAAGCCAACUCUACUCCGUGGCUUCACCGAAAAAAACGGCAUUACUAUUCACUUUAAGUGAAAACUAAUAAUGCGUAACUUCUCCUUUCUAGCUCAUUUUCUCCUGAAACUUGACGAGUGCUUAUGUAAUUAAAAUACACACAUAAACAUCGUCAACAGAGGUUUAGUUGCACUGUCAAAAUCUCAGUCCUUACACUUGGUGCUAUUAAUAGUAUAUUAGCCUUAGUUAUAUAUUAUAUAUAUAUAUAUAUAUAAAUAUUAUAUAUAUAUAUAUAUAUAUAUAUAUAUAUAUAUAUAAUAUAUAUAUAUAUAUAUAUAAAAUUUAUUUAUAACAUAUAUUUAUUAUUAUAUAUUAAUAUAUAAUAUUAUAUAUAUUAUAUAUAAUUUUAUUCAAUUCUAUAUAUAUAUAUAUUUAUUUAUUAUAUAUAGUACUUUGUUUUUAUAUAGAUAUAUUAUUAUAUAAUAGUUUAUUACAUAAUUCACUAUUUAUUUUUAUAAAAUAUAAACUAUAUAAAUAAAUAUUAAAUAAUUUAGACUAUUGGUAUUAGAUAUAGAUGUAAUUUUAUAUGUGAAGGUAAUAUAAGAUUUACACUUAUAUGUAGAUGUACAGAUAGUAUUUUUUGUAUACAGAAAUUUGUACCAUUAUAUAUGCAAUUAUAAUUCUUCUUUUCUAUUUAAUUUAGGGGAGAAGAUGAAUCAGUACAUGUACAUCAACAUUAUUCUUUGAAUGAGCUAAAUGACUGAUUCUUUUGUCUGUAGGAAUAUAUUGCGAACUUUUGUACUAUAUUAGUCAUUUACUGCCUGAGCCAUCUUUUGCUUCUAACUUAUGAUAACCAAUUAAUCUACUUAACUCUUAGGUGUAGGCUUAUAUCCACAAACAAAUAUGCAAGUUUGUCUUUGUUUGUUUAAUUAUUUGUGCUCAUUUUACGCUGGAAAUUGCAAACCCUGUUGGUAGCUUAGUGCAAAAUAUAUAUAUACUUUGAUUUAGCUAUAUUUUAAUUGAUUUAUAUACAGGCCGUAUUGAUGAUUCUCCUGUCAUGCUUGCCAAACGUCAAACUUUUAUGAAUGCAAGUGCUGAGUCUGUAAGUAGAUAUCUCUAACUCAUCCAAAUUAUGUACAACUAUCUGAAGCAAUUCUUUUUAUUAUCCUAUUCCAAUUUUAUGAUGCAAAUUGGGGCUUCUUUAUGUAGGUUGGUUCGCUGGUUUCAUAUUACAAGAUAUGACUGAAUCAAGUACUUCUGGUAUAUAUAUCAUAUUGUUGUUAUGCAACUAUUGAUGUUUAGUUUUUACUAUUAGUUUUUGAUGGAUUUUUAGUUUUGUUACUUUGUAGAUGUAUGGUGAUUUGGAUUUACCUUUUGCAAAAUUGCGUCUACUAUAAAAUGUCGAAACUUAAAAUUUUAAUUUUUACAUUUAAAAGUGAAAUUUCGACAUUUAAAAUUUAGUAUUUGAUUUUUUUAAAUUCAAUUUGUAAUUUAAUAUUUAAAAUAUUGAAUGUUUAAAUUUAAAAUUGAAACUUAAAAUUAAAAAUUGUAUAUUUUCCCUUAAUUACUAAAACUAAAUGUUAAAAUUUUUCUGUUUUAAAUUUUAAAUUUUAGUUUCUAAAUUAUAGAUUUUAAAUUUUAUACAAAAAUUAUAAAGCUUAAAAUUUUGAAAAUUAUAUAUAUUAAUUUGUUGAAAUAUACCAUGGAAUUUCAGAUUAUCUAGCUGAAUUCCUAAAAAUUCAAAAUUACAGCGACAUAUAAAAGUUUAGAAUUUAAAAAAUUAGAAAUCAACAAGACUCUAUAUAAAAUCAUAUAUUCAAAAUAUACAAACUGAAUUAAGAUAAAAUAUAUUUUUGGAAAUUUUAAUUUUUAAAUUGUUAAUUUCAAAUUUUAGAAUUUAAACAAAAGGGAAUUAGAAAUUUUAAAUUUUAAAUAAAUUACGUAAAUUUUUCGCCGCAAAGCGCGGGCCUAUACUAGUAAUCCUAUGAAUCGGCAACCCUAACGGAGCCCUCCCCGCAAUUCGCGCUCUCCGCCCUCGCGUAUGGCGCGGCGGUCCCCCUCCCGCCCACCUCACACCACCCCCCCCACCGGCGAUCCCCCCUCCCCCCCCCCCCCUCGGUGCUGCCCCUCCCCCCCGUCUUCGGCCGGGAUGGUCCGCUCUGACUUUCCUCCCUCGGGAACGCAGCUGUCUUUCCCCUACGGGGGCAACCCUAACGGAGCCCUCCUCUCGUUUCACGCUCUCCUCCGUUUUGUACGGCGCUCUUCCUCUUUGUCUUCGCCAGGAUGGUCCGCUCUGACUUUUUCGUCCUCUCCGCCUUCGCUGUUGUGGUCGCCAUCCUCCCUCGGGAAUGCAGCUGUCUCCCCGUACAGCGCGGCGUUCCCCCCCACUCUCCUUUCGUCCUCUCUGCGCAGCCGCGACGCCGUGCGGCAUGGCGCCUUCCCUAUUCUGUUGCCCGUCUGCCUAUCCCGUCCGAUUUCCGUACAAGCGGGGGUUGCCGUUGUGCUGUCGGCGAUAUGGGCCGCGUCUUUUCCUCAGCCGCACGUGUUCAGCUGUCCAGUCCGGCGUGGCUCCUCCCUGUGAUAUGUGGUCAACAGGCAUUAAUCAAGGUAUAUAUCAUGACCUUCUUUUUUUUCCUAUCCUGUUGUCCUCCGCGAUCGCAGCCCACCUCCCGUAGGGCAUGGAGCUCGCGUGCUCUCUCUCUCUCUCUCUCUCUUCCCCUCCUGUGUAUGAUUUCCUGUGGGGCUUCCAUGCGGCUGCUCAUCUUUAUCCCUCUGUGCUCUCUCUCCCUGAUUUCUCCUCUCUUACUGUGCUCUGCUUGCUUUUCCUCUCUCUGGUUAUUAUAAAUACUAAAGAGGCUGGUAUUUUUUUUCUCUGCGCAUUUCUAGUUCGCCCUGAUUUUGAACCCCCUGUUUUUGGAACGUUGUUGCUCUGUCGUUCUUGCCCUGUGGUGCUUUUGAGCGUUGCAACUGAUCGAUGGGUAAAAACAAGCAUUCGGAUGCUUCAUGAUUUCCCUCCCCCCCUCCCUUUUUUUUCCCUCUUAUACUUACUCUUAUACUUUUUUCCCUGCAUGUUGGUGUGUUUGAUUCUGUGCAGCAAGUCUGCACAUCUGUGGCUCCUAAGGUAUUCUGUCAAAUUUUUCUCCUAUUUAUUUGGAACACUGAAGUUUACUUACACUGAAGUUUUAUUCUCGAAAUUAUAGAAGGCUGGGAAUUGGUAGAGAAGGCUGGAAUUGACGUAAUAUAAUGAUUGUGCUUGUCUCUACACUUAAAUGAGCUAAAUUAGAGAAGGCUGAAAAUUUGGAGAGAUUUUUUGCAAAAAUUUGGCUGCUACUGUUUCCUCCAGUUUGCACGAUUGCGCCUCACUGCUGGAACCUCCUCACUCCCUCUCUAUCUUCCCCAAUCAGCCACCCUCUCUCUUUGCUUCACUGUGAUCAAAGGAGCCCUUAUGUUAUGAAUAGUGGGAUGUUGUGUUAUUUGUAUUUGGUAGGUCACUCUAAUUAAGAGCAUCCGGCACCCCUUAAUCCUAAAGGUCUACUUUCUCCAACUUAUUUUUGUGGUGGUUCCAACAGAUUGUGUUGUGAAUUUCUACUGAUAUUCUCUUUUCCUGUGUUUGCCAGGUUGCCGCAGCGAACCUCUCGGGAAUUUUGGUCCGCUCAUCUCCUUCUUUCCAUUGUGCUCCUUUGCUUCCUACUCUAUUUAGUACGAUUCCUCUACUUACCACUGCUGGUUCUGACACAUUAAUGUGUGGUGCUACUUUAUUUACUGUGAUUUCCUCUCUUAUGUUUUGCUGUUAGUACAUUUGAGUUGCUAUUUUCAAAGUGAGAUUUUGGGUGUUGAGUGUUCGAUCCUAACUCCCAAUUCAUGUUUUUUUUAUAGAAUGUGUUUCUUCUUUCCCCUCCCAUUUAAUUUUAUGUUUUGUUCUUACUGAUCUCCUUUGACAGAGAGUUAAGCUUAAUUACUUGCCUAUACAUCUCCUAUUUAUUGCUUAUUUUUUACCUAUUUGUUAUUUGCUUCUCCCCCUCUUUGUAUGAUGCUUUUGUUCAGGUGAUUUUCCUUGAUGAGGUCUCAGUGCAGUGAAUGCCUACUUGCUUGCUUCUCUGCCUUCUGUUUGAUGCUUCCUUCGUUGAUAGAGGUGAUGAUGAUUUCCGCAAAAAAAAAAGAAGAAGAAGAAGAAAGGAACAAAUAAAAAAAAAUUGUUGACCCCGUUCUUCUACUAAAUUAGUUACUGAAUUACUUACACCAUUACUCCUCCAGUGCCCUCUAAUUUUUUUAGUUGUUCGUUGCUGAGCAUAAUUUGCAGCUUAGCUAUUUUUCAUGUUGGAGAAAAUGCAUAUAUUACUAUGUGGUUAUCAAUUUUGCCCCCUCACUAUAUUUCUUGCUUAUUUUCUCGCUACUCUCCUACAUUGCUUCAGAUUUUCUACUUACUUUUAUUCUGCUACUAUUUUUUUUACUAAUUAUUUAGUAAUUUUACAAAUUUUUUGUGUAGAUAAUUUUUUGUUCCCCCGAGGGAUAUUAUACAAAUUUUUUACAUGACUGGUUUACUAUGAGGUUAUCAACUUUUCCCCUUUAGAUUUUAUAUAUAUUUUUAUUAUGUUUAUGAUACUAUAUUUUUCCUUUUUUGACUAAUUAUUUAGCUUUUUUACAAAAUUUUCGCCUAGGUGAUUUUUCGUUUCCACGAGGGAUAUUACACAAUUAUUGUGCAUGGCUAGUUAGUUUUGCACAAACUUGGUUCUUUGGAUCCCUAUUCUUCUUUUAUGCUCUACAUGGUAUAAAUUGAUUCAUAGAGGCAAUGGUGGUUUUAACAAAAUGAAAAGAAUUGUUGAUUACUGUUUACUGCUAAUUUAAAUCGGACUUUUAAAAUUUUCAUUGUUUGUUCCUACUUUAUACUGAAUUAAUUUCAAUAUUACAUUGUAGGGUUAUCCUUCUGCUGUGUCUCUCUCCUUAACUACCCAAUUUUUUUUGGUUGCCUCUAUUUCUAUGCUAUUUGUUCCUCCGGUGCCAUCUAAUUUUUUAGAUGCUUUGUUGCUGAGUGUAGUUUGCAACUAAAAUAUUUUUCAUGACAGAGAAAAUGCAUACAUUACUAUGCAGUGGUCAAUCUGAGCCUCUUCCAAAGUCGCCUAAAAAGAUGCUAUGGGUUUUACUUCUUAUUUCUUUUCCGCAAUACUUCCCGUGCUUACUUUCUCGCUACUCUCUUACAUAACUUCUGCCUUCCUAUUAACUUUUAUUUUGCUACUGUAUUUUUCUGCUUCUUUCCCUAAUUGUUCAGUUUUUAUACAGAUUUUCUUCCUCAUUAAUUUUCUAUCUUUGCCGAGGAGUAUUAUGCAAAUUUUUUGCCUAAUUGUUUGGUUUUUCUCAAACUUGGUUCUUUGCAUCCAUGUUCUUCUUUCAUGUUUGCAUUAUAUGAAUUGAUUGAUAAAGACAAUGAUGGUUUCAGCAAAAUAGAAAGCUACACGUUGGGAACAAAAAAGGAAUUGUUGAUUACCCUCUUCUGCUGGAUUACUUCAGAUCUUUUGAAUUUCCAUUGUUGGUUCCUAUUUUCUACUGAAUUACUUUCGAUAUUACACUAUGGGGUUAUCUUUUUGUUGGCUUUCUCUCCCUUUAACUACCUGAUUCCUUUUGGUUGCCUCAAUUUUUGUGCUAUUUAUUCCUUCAGUGUCCUCUAAUUUUUCAAAUGCAUUGUUGUUGAGAUUAGCUUGCAACUUAACUGCUUUUUCAUAGUUGAGAAAAUGCGUAUAUUACUAUGCAGUGAUCAAACCUUCUGUGGGUAGGCUUGGAUAUAAAAGGUAAACUCUGAUUUAAAAAUGACAACUCUACAGCUGAUAUGAAAAAUUUAGAUGAAGUUCUAUUUGCAGAGAGACAAUGUCUUAGGUAAUAAUAAUUCAAAAUUUUAUUCAUUCAUAUUUAAAAGUACUGCAGUAAAACUUUCUUUUUAUUUUUCUCUUUUUUUUUUUUCGCAGGUAUGCUGAUGAUGCUCAAAUAAGUGAAGACAAAAAAUAAAGAAUCAAACAAGUGAAGUGAAGACAAAUAAUAAAGAAUCAAAUUCCGUAUAUGUAAGAAAUGGAACUUAUUUAGAAUUAUGUUAUGAUCCAGUUUUUAGCUAUAUAAUUUACUUAGACUUUUAACUUCAUGCUUUUUUUAAAUCGUUAGUGUACUAUCCAAUAGUGUAUAUCAAUUGAUUUGGUAUAAAAUUGAGUUCUUCUUUCUUGCUUAAGCUAUCCAUGUAUAUAUUACUCACUCCUUGCCCACGUUAAUAAAUUACUGUUGUAUUAACUUCCCGCCGCAACGCGCGGGUCCCCUUAACUAGUUAGAAACCUAGAAAGAUUGGAGAGAGAGAGAGAGAGAGAGAAUAUUCUUGUAGACAUUUUGGUUUAUGCUUUGUGGUGGGAGUAGAGAUCGGGUUGCAUUUUUCCACCUCCACAUCCUCACUUUCUACCUGGGCUAUCAGCUAGCCCAGGAACAGAAAAGGAAGAUGAUCCUUUCUCCUUCCCUCUUCUCUCUAAGUGACUACCCAUCUCAACUUCGAAACUUUUUAGUUUUAAAAGCCUUAAUUUGAACUUAAACAUGCUGAUCAUAGAACAGAUGGAAAGGACAUAGAUACAUUGUAUUAUAAACUACAAAAUUUUUGCGCUCCUCGACAGCAAAACAAUUCCUUAUUAUUUUGCAUUGUAAGUUUUUAAAGCCCUUCAUUGUCCCACACCAUCUAUUGUAAGACAUCUUUUAAGUAGUACACACCUAUCUGACAAGUGAAAUUGCUCUACACUGAUGAUGCUGCAACUACUGAUUAACUGUUAAAAAUUAGCGCUAAACUUAUCUUUUUUUGUUUCUUUUUGUUUACAACAUCAAUAAGUGUAUUUGUAGGAGCCCAAUAAUCUAUUGUUUAAAUUGACCUUUUUUUUUUGCUCUUUUUGAUUCAGGUUGACUUGUGGCUUAUUUUUGGAUAGUGAGCCAAGUUGGUACGGACGAAACCAGGAUUCAAUCACGAGGGAUGCCAAAAUAUAUACAAAAAAAAUAUUUUGACAGAUAAAUAAGAUUUUAACUACUCAAAUUUUUAAUAAAAAAAUUUAGUGAUUAGAUAUUUAAUGUUAAAAAAAUAUUAAAUUUAUUUCGCUAAUUUACACUCGCUUAACUUCUAAUUAUUUUAUUUACAUUAUUCUAAUCAAAUAACUUAAGAAUUUUACUAAAUCUAAUAGUAAUUUAGUUAAAAUUUAUUUUUUUAAAAUUUUUGUUAAUAAAAUAAUAACAACCAAUGACUAAUAUCUAACAGAACUAUUAAAUUUAGCAUACUAUUUUAUUUAGUUAAAUAAAUUAGCUCAUCAAAAAUAAUUAGAAAGUUAAUUAUUUCAAAGUACUUAAUUAAGAGGUCCUUAGCGUAUUUUCACCUAUAAAACACAUAAGAAAAGAGAGAGCUCUAUACUAGCACUAAAAACUUUUUACAAGAUAGGCCUAUAUAUUUUAAAAAUUAACUAAAAAUUUAUAAGCUACUAAAAAAUUAUAAAGUAAAUAUUGAAAAGUGCAAGUUGGGCCACAUAGGUAUAGUUAGGGGUUAAAAGAAAAUAGGUUAAGUGAGAAAACCAGCUUCUCCUCUUUUUCUCCAUUAUUUCCUUAUUUGAUGUUUCUCGCCGGAGCAAGAAAAGUGUCAAAGAGGGUCAAAGGUGGUUGGAAUUUUGCUAGGUUUGAGAUGGGUGACAUCUAAUCUGCCUCUUUUCCUCUCUUGUGAACAUCCAUUGUGUUGCGUGCCGAAUGUCCCGAUCCUUGACCCGGUCAAGUAUUCUCCUCGGGAAGGGCGUCGGGAUGAUGCGCGGCCGCGGAUUAUGACCCUCGAAGUAUGCGCCCACAGAGGAUCAAGCGAUUAGGCCGAUGAGGGAUCGGACCAGCCGGGUUCAAAAACCUCUGCAGUAAAUUCGCUUCGGCAGGAUGAGCCGAAUGGAGAAGGGAAGCCCAGAUUUCGACUAAAAGAUGAGCCGAAUGGCUAAACAACUUAAGAUCUGAUCGGCAGGAAGAGCCGAAAAUGACUUUUUAUUGAUUAGCAAACGGAAAGAGUACAGGAACAGGGGAGUGAUGCCCGUAGGGCAGACAGACUCCGAGUAUGAGAAUAGGAGAGUGAUGCCCGUAGGACAGACAGACUCCGAGUAUGCUAAAUUACAAGAACUACUCCUAGGGAAAGCAGUAAAUGCGAGAAUAGAAAGAUGCAGGAAAAUAAAGGUGGUCUUUUGUGCGUAGAGGCGAAGACCCUUUCUUAGGGUGCCGUAUGCCCAUUUAUAAAGUUGCCCUUGCGUUCAGUUAUCGUCAAUGUACGAUCGGCCACUAUCUCCUGAUUUGUAGGACCACCUUCGGCCGAUUGGAACUGCUCAUAACCGCUUACGGUUGCUACGCUUUUUGAACAGACGCGGCUCAUAUCUUCUGGCGCGUUUUAUAUACUCCCGGUCCACCAUUUUGACAUGGACCAUGGACGUGGUCCCGGCUUGCCAGCUGUCCGCAUUGAAUUGGCCCAACACAUUGUAAUGCACUUUUGAUUGAAGGUUUAUUUAAUAUUUUUCGCUUUUCCAUUAUAUGUUGUCUUUAGAUACUUUUAGUGAAGUUGAUAAAAUUCAUAUGUAGAGUUAUUUGCGAUUAUUUUUGUGAACUUUUUAUUUCUCCAUUCUUGUAUUCUACUGUGGUUGUGCGAUUUUGAGCGAAUAGAAAAACUUUGUUUUUUCAGUUUCUAUGCAUCGGAGAAAAGCGUGUGCUCGGGCUGAAGCUGGUUAUACUUUUCUCUUCAUUUGCUUCGUUCUUCGUCGUGAUCCAAGUAUACUGCAUUCGAAUACCAUUCACUCACCCCAAAAGCUUAAUUAGGAAAGGGUUCAAUCACAUAUGGACACAACAAGAAUGAUUCACACACUAAGAUUAACCCAAAUUUCUAUAAUAAUACAACACCUUAUUCAUGUCAUCAAAAAGAAUGAUGUGAUUUCAUAUAAUAUACAACAAAGAACAACCUCAGAUGAACCUAAACUUUAGGAAUAGUCCCAGUUAUUACAACAACUGAUAUCAAUAUUCUGUACACAAGUAAGAUCGUCGGAUUCAUUGGUAUUGAUUAGAAGUUUCUCCACCAUCUCAUCCCAAUCACAUCUCCCACUAGAUGAGGAGGAAUCACUGCAUGAUGAGGCUCCACUAAUGAUAUCUCGAGUGGAUUCUUCUUCGGAAAGUCUCAUUUGCUGUUCCGCGUUCAACCUCGUCGCUAUUUCUACCGCAUCGCUGCGUUCUCUCGCGAGGAAUUGUGUUCUCUCCAUGCUUUGAUGUGGAGGAGGAGUUGUUGCUUCUUCUCUUUGCUCCAUUAACUGGAAAUGAGUAAUUUGAGAACAUUUAGACAAGAUCCAAAGUUUAAACCAUGAGAAUUUCGUGACGAAAACAGUUGAGAUUAAUUGAGCUUCAACGAAGUGGUGAUUGAGUGACAAAUUUAAAGUACAGAAGGAAGGUGCAGCGAGGACGCUUGUGGAAGAAGUUGAGAUAAAAUUUGAAAUAGUCUCACUACUUAUAAACAGCAAUCGAAUCAGAUAAGAAAUUGCCUAUUCUUUUCCUCGGCGCCACCACAUUAGCUGCGUACUACUGCUUAGUGAUCCGCGCUCCGUCGUCUCUCGCACUUCAAUCCCCUUUGUCCAGUGAGCUGCAGGCUUUUCUUGAUUUCAAGUACUAUGUUUUUCUUUUGGAGGGUUGGAUUGAAGUAUAAGAUGAGACCAGGAUCAGAUCACUAGGCAGUACACUGGCUGGUUUGAUGCACCGUUGGCAGGUAACAAUUUCUCCAAUCAGUAAUUGUUGACACAUAGCUGACACAAAGACUAUAAACAUACUAAAGAGAUUACACUUUUUUUUUGUUUUUUUAAGGCCCCUGAUAUGAAUGAAGCAGGUUGAGACUUCAUGUCCCUACCUUUCUCUCUCUCUCACAAAAGAAGAAGAAGAAAAAGAAGAAAAUGCCCCUCAUAUUCUCUCUUUGAAAGGUCCCUAAUAUUCUCUCUCUCAAAAACAGAAAAGCUUCAAUUCUCUAAUCACAGAUAUUGUUGUCCAGUAAUUCUCAUUCAUGCUAAACGAAGUUCAUACAGAGCAAUCUGAAAGUGAGCAAUUCCUAAACAGUAUUGAGUGUAAAAGAAAGAAAAAAAAAAAUUCCACUGUGACCUUUGGAUGAUGAUAUUUUGAGAACAUACACCCUAAAAACAAAUAUGCAUCUCUGAGGAGCAUCAGUAAAAGCACUUCCCGUAUGCUGCUUCGAGUGAUAAAUUUACGACAUCAAAUAUAUUUGUGCGCGUAUGUGCACGCACCUGUUCUGGGGCUUGAGGUGGGGGUGAUUUGAACUGAGAAAGGAAGAGUUUUUGGUAUACUUACUUCCAAGGCCUUCUGUGCUUCGCGCUCUGUCCAAAUAAUCCCAUGAUCAAAUAUAGCAUUACAUGACAGCACAAUAUGCUCAAAUCUGCCUUCGACAGGAAUCGCUGUUCUCACCUCCGGUGGGAAUCUACCACAUCUGCACAAGUAAUGAACCACCACCGAAGUAUUUUGUCAUCUAAAGAAGGGAUACGAAUGUACUAUAGCAAUAAAUUGCAUAUAGGAAUCAUCCUUAUAAUCGUAACUAACAUGAAAAUUGAUUUCAUUCAGGAAAAAUCAGCAAAGUUAGAGAAUUUAUUUGAGAAAGGAAAAUGCCGGUUAAGUUGACGCAGCAUUAAGGAAAGAUUCGAUUUGACCAUCCAGUAAAUGUAUAUUCAGUUCGAAGUUGAUGUAAUAAAUCAUGUAUUAUGAGCAAGGUAAGCUGCAAAGAGAACUAAUAGGAUCGGACAGAUAAAUAAGAGAUAUAUAAAGAGAAUUUACAAUAUCUAGCAGACGAACGGAACUAGAAUACUUUUGAUAGUAAAGGAAUAGUAUUGAUCCAAGGGCUGCAAAGUUGAUAAUAAACACUAUUCAUCUACUAUCAAUAGUAUUCUAGGUGAACUCCUGGCAGAUAAUUAUAUGAAUAAAUAAUUUAUAUAAAAGUUCUGCGCUCCUGGAUGUCUUGCAUUUUACUCUUUAAACCAACUAGCUAAUACUAUCCAAAUAUUUCAGCGUAGUACUGCUAAAAGCCUGAAGCAUACCUGCAAAAUUUUCGCUCGACGAUAUGAAACAUUCUACCCGGAGCAUAAAGCCUAGUUGGGUCCUUAAGCUUUCUUUCUUCUGAUGUAAAUGUGUCUCUCAUGCAAACAAAGAACAGUAAGCAGGGCAAGCUGCGAAAAGCAAUAAAAGAUGGAUUACCAUGAUGUUGUUUUAUAAUAAUCACAUAUAUUUGAACGGAUAAACGCAAACCAAAAGAAAAUGAUAAUAUGGAGGCCCUUCGCAUAGCGGUAAAAGAUCAUAAGAUGUAGUGAUUACCAGAAGAUAGAUCCAAAAAUAUACUGCAAGGGAGUCAGAGUUCUUGGCAAGAAAUCAUCCUGGAAUUCCAUAAUUGUGUGUUAGCACACAUAAUGAUUAAGCGGCAACGUCAUAAGCAUGGAGACAACAAAGUUCACACAAUUACGACGAUACAGAGAAAGUCAAAUAUUCAAAACACAUUUAAACAUCAGGUACAUAUACUUCAAAAGGGCGGUAAUUUUACAGUAAAUAUGAUGAAAAAGAGCAAGAUGAGAAGAAAAGUGACAACUAUUAGAUCCCCUGCAAAACUGAUCCGAACGAUAGAAAAGUUAGAAACCUUAAAAACUUUAGAUGCCUAAAUUCAAGAGCUACAUGUGAAUACAAAUGAUUCAACUCAAACAUUAUGUGAUCACUUCAGACAUAAAAGUUUUGCAUGCCAAAUAUGCUGAGCACUUAAAAAGUCAAGAGUGCUAUGUGUGAAAGCUAGGGAAACUUCAAACUAUGCUUUGUUUCGAAUACAAAAAUGCAUUCCAACUAAAUCAGCAAAGCUAACAUCGAUUCUGCAGUAGAUCAUCGAAACUAACAUCGAUUACACAGGGAGGUUAAGCUAUUAACUAAAUCAGCAAUGAAUGUUUAAGCUAACAAGUUAUUCCCCCUGUGCUUUUCAAGGGAUCAUAUUAUGCAAGGAACAUAAUUGAUCUUAUAGAAAAAUGAAUGUUUUACUCCAUAAUCCGAGAGAACAAGGAAAUAUUAUUCUUUACUCUUCUUCAGAAUAGCCAUGCCAUUGUCAAUUUGUGCUUUUAGAUGAGUUUUUAGGCCCAUUUUCGCACUCUUCUGGUUCUGUUUUAACCGACAGUAUUCUUAGCAUAAUUUUUGACAAAUGACAUACUUUGAAGCUCACGCUGUAAAAGAAAGAAAAAGUAGAAACUCUAAUUUGUUUCUUAUGAUUCUACAAGUGAGAAAAACUGGAGGCAUAAAUAUAUAUUAAUAUAAUGCUUCAGCAAAUAGCAGUAGUCGGACAAUACUUUCGCAAAUAGUACAAUAUACGAAAAAAUUGAGGUAUCUGACUUGCCUGCAAAACAACAGAAUGUAUAACAUCCGCAUACUUAACCGCGAGGUCCAACGACAUGCACCGCGGCGGUGCCACUGCUAGCACCGGACCCGAUUCCUCGGGAUUCCCCCGAACCGGUCUGGGUGGUUCACAACCAGUGCCGCUGCGAGUGCUGCCACGCCCGCCCCAAGUGAGUGCCCCACCAGCACAAGUGAGUAAUCCUCCCCUCCUUCCUGGACCAGCCGGCUCAAUGUUUCGCCCUCCCUGUCGAGCAACCAAACUGCCGCCCGGAACAGACCCCGGUGUACGAACCCGCCGUCAAACGGGUGGGACCCCGGUGGGUUGUCAAGGAGAAGCCUGCAGCCAUAGUUGCAAAUCCGGCAUUCAGAUUAAAUACAGACAAAUAUUCAGUAAAAGUUCAGAAAAUCAUAAGCAAUAGUUGGGAUGAAAUUGGUUAUGAAUGUAGAAUACUAUAAAUGCAUGAAAGUAUAAAAUUAUUAUGUAAUCAUUCAUCUUUCAUCAUUUUUAAAUACAAAACACCCAAGUUUUGUUGUCAGUUAAUAGGCUAUCCAAAGUUUUCACUUAUUGUUAUUUACAGAUCAGCAAAAUACUCGGAGAAAUAUAUAUUCAAAAAGGUCAGUUAGUAGGUUAUCCAUAAGUAUCCGAUGACAACUUAUUCAGUAUGAAGUUUUUUCUGUGUAAUUGAAAAGCAGGGUUUGAUUUUUUACUUCUUGAAAGGUUUUGGCAUCUAUGAUUUUGUAAGAUAGUAUUUCUCUCCUACGAGGUGAUUUAAUUUAUUUUGAAGAAUACCUCACAAGGUUGGAUAUUAUUUCAUUCUAGACAUUUGACCAUACUCCUAACUUUACAAUCACAAUAGAAAAUUUUCUGAUCGAAUGAAAUAUCGCUAAACAACUUAUUCUAACAUCCAAACACGACUGCCGUGGAGUAUUCGGAAGAUGAGGGUGUGAUUAGAUGUCUAGAGUUGAAUAUCAUAUUUGAUUUCAAAUUAUUUUUUCAGAAUAACAUAAAUCGGUUCGUGAGUGAAAUCGUACUAAAUAAUCGUAAACGCCAGGACCUUCUAAACUGGAAAUGCGCAAGUAGUAAUUAUUGAACAACCAAAAUAAAUAAAAUAAAACAAUGACUCCAGAAUUAGGUUGUAAUAGCGGAGAGAGUUGUUAAAUUUUAUGAAACAAUCGUUAUUCUCAAAAGCGUAAACUGAUACGGAACGGUGUUUAAAUAUUCUUAUAUUUAACACAUAUUUUACUGUGCGGAUGAAGUGGACUUGAAUUAUAUGAAACACUUUUUGCUAUUGGCACGACGUGAACUUGAAUUAUAUGAAAGAAAAUUAAUAAUGGUAGGCAUUUGACGUGACUCGAACACAGGACUCUCUGCUCCGAUAUCCUGCUAAAUUUUAUAAAACGACCGUGCCUGUAGUCGGCGUUGCGGACGAGAUCAAGGCCGCGGACGGCGAGGACGAGCUCGCGCAGCCGACGCACACCGCGCACUCCACCCCGCACGACACCGACAUAUCUGUUCUCGUUCGCCGCAACAACAGUAAGAAUAAUAAUAAGAAUAGGAAUGGGCGUCUGGGGAGAGGGUAUAAUAAUAAGAAUAAUAAUAAGAAUAAUAGUAAAGGGUGGGGUUUACGAGGGGGUUGAAUGGGAGAAUCGUCAUGGAAUUUGAAUUCAAAGAAGCGGAUUACGGAUUCUGGAAGGAGGAGAGGAGGAGGACGAGGAGUAGGAGUUCAAGCAAGACAAGGAGGCGCGUAAAAAGUAUUCGGAAGAAAAGAAGCUUCCGCGGGUGAGGAUAUCCGGGAGAAUAUUUGACGAUCGAAGCUUCCUUCUUCGGAUGAUUUGGGAGACAUGUGUCGGUUGAAACUAUGAACUACUUAAAAAUUGGAGCGACCAACUGCGCAGAACGCAAGUGGCAAAGAUUUUAAGGCUUCGUUUGGUAUUGCGAAAAAAUUGCGUUACAUGCGGUGAGAAACGAUGAUAGAAAAAUAUCCCGUUUUAUUUUCGUACGUAAUAUUGCGUUCCGCAUAUUGCGAUGAGUCGGUUACAAUAUAUUUUUCGCGGUCCCACCGGAGAAUGUAGAAACAUCUCCCUAUAUACUUUUUCCUCAACUCCAUUUUAUCUAGUAGCGUUAGAUAGAUUUCGAUACCAAACUAAGCCUAAGUACUGAUGGGUGCAUCAGGUUUUAAGUUUAAAGGCUAAUUAUUUUGCAUUAUAGGUACUGCCAAGUAUAUCUUAUAAUACUAUUGAUGACAUAUCAUUAUUAUUAUUAUUAUUACACUCUAAUAAGAAAUUAAUUAUUAAACCUCAAACAUUAUUAUUAAACUUUAAGUAAAUCUUAAAUCUUUUAUAUAUAUAUAUAUAUAUAUAUAAUAUAUAUAUAUAUUAUAUAUAUAUAUAUAUAUAUAUAUAUAUACGAUGUGAGGCUACUAUACUAUCGGAAGCACGAAGCCUUCCGUGCUUCCAGCUCGUUUUCGAUAUUGCGACUUUCGAAUCGUCGAUCAGCUCCAUUAAACUUGAUCUAGAGUAUUUGGAGUACCUAGAAAUAAAUUUUUUUAUUUUCGAUAUCAUUUGCCUAGUGAUCGAAUGAGCUCAAAAUCAACAAUUUUCAAAUGGCCGUAGUGAGCCGUUUGCAAGUUUAACGGUGUAGAAAUAUCCAAAUCACGUGAAAUUUUGAUAGAAAAUUCUUUAUACUAUAUAAAACAAGAUCAAUAUCUUGAUUUAAAAUUUUAAUGUUAUAUGUAUUACAUUUUGUAAGAUUUUUAUUUUUAGGCCGUUGAUUUUGAGGCCCUCGUUCACUAAGGCAAAUGAUGAUCGUAAAAUCAUAAAAUUUAUUUUCUAGGUACUUCAAAACUCUAGACAAGUUUAAAGAGCCGAUCGACGAUUCGAAAGUGCAACAUCGAAAACGAGCUGAAAGCACGAAGGCUCCGGCUUCCAAUAGCAUAGUAGCCUCACACACUCUCUCCUCUCUCUCUCUCGUU
rnacentral:lncRNA from 1 species